ACGGGGGGCGCCUAUCCCGCUGUGCCACCAAUCACUUAAUUCGGCUCUCUCGACUGGUGCAUAAUAUGCUUAAUUAUGUUGUGAUUUUUCUGUACCAAUGAAUGAGCCGGGUGAGUGGUUAAAAUAUUUGUUGGCACACGUGGCUGUGUUAGUGAGAGGUCAAUCCGCAUCCUUUUCCACUAAUUAGCGUGAUUUGAUAAGUUCAGAUUCUGAGAAGGAGAAGAAAGCCUCAGGGGCCAGAGUAUUCAGGAGGACACCAAUCCAAAUCUAUGGUGUUUGAGGCAGCUUGAAAGAAGGUUUGCUGCAGGGAAGAGAUAGAAAGAGCGAAAUAGAGAGGGCAGGGGCGUGAUCUGUUGUAAGUAUGAAGUGAAGUAAUCCUUCCUGUCCCGCUGUUUGUUUUCGCAAGUCUGUUUUGCACAACUCUGUUUGCAGUGCGUGCAGUAACUGAUCGAUUGCGUUUUGAGGGUUCUAGGUGUCGAAUAUGACCGGGCCAUUAAAAUAAAAGUUGUAUAUCUUUUCAAGACCUUUCCAACGAAUAUUUAUUUGCAAUUUUUCGUCAGGUAUUCUAGGAGAUAAUGCCUAUCUGAAGUUACUGUCAGUUUUCGUCAGACUGCAGUUUUAGGCAUGACUUCCUAUUUUGCGCGGCGUUUCAAAGUAACUUCAAGGCUGAAUCUUUCCAUGGGGCUAUGGAUGUAUUUUCAGUAAUUGGUUUGAAAUUUCCAUGGAGAAUAUUUUCUCAAAUUUUCGCUGAGUAUAGUGAAAGAUACAACCUUCUGAAUGCUGCUGUCCAUUGCGAGUUCUGUUCUGAACUUCUGACAGUUACUGUUUUCUGUAUUGAGAUUUGAGAGGCAUUUUAAAAUAUCUGUCUAGAGUACAGUUAACAUAGAUAUAAUUCAUUGUUUGAUCUUUCCACAGAGGAUGUAAGUACUAUUUUUUAUUGCGUCUACAAGGAGUAAUUUAACAUUGCUAUCCGUUUCAGUUAACUUUGUGAGAUCUUCCUGAAACUAUAUAGUUUCGGUUGUGAGUUUCAAAUUGGUUUGCCGUUUUAACGGUACUUAGAGGCCGAAUGUAUUGUCUUGAACGAAACUGUUGCAUCUUGCUUUAGAUGUUUUUUGAUAAGGUAACAGCUGCCUCAACUGAAGAAUCAUUAACUCCCUCAUCGUGUAACUUCCCUGCUGCAGGUGAUUGGAUCAGCGAACCUUCUCUGUAGUUUAGGAUUUGAUCAGUUCGAGGAACGUGGUAAGUCCCUAGCAAAAUUCUUUCGCCUUAUUAAUCUUCUGCGUUCUUUAUCAGUGCGCUGGUCCAUGCAGUAUCAUCAGAGUCAUGGAUCUUUGACAGAAUGUAACGCAUGGGCAGUAUAGUAUUCUCUCAUGUUAUGUGAACCCUCAAAUUCCUUUCCAUGAGACUGAACCCAACUGUUCCCAAUUUUCUUAUGUGUUUGUGUAUACGAUGGUACAUAAGUGAGUUUCACCAUUAUUGGUCUAUUUCUUGAUGUUUUUUCCAAGGAUAUUCGAUUGUUGAGUUAAUUGUCAGUGAUGCCAUCACAUUGAGUUAACUCUAAAAGUUACGUUUCUUUGUUUUCUGUGUUAUGUGGAAGAAUGUAGAUUUGCAAUGUGAAGAGUUAUUCCAGGACAAUAGUGGCGGCUACCGAUGCAAUUAUUUUAAUUAUUAUAGAACAUCUAAUUGACAAUGCGGUCUGUGUUGCUGGAGUGAGCUUUUUUAUGGAAUGAAAUACAUGUUAAAGCAGAACCACUGUAAGAUGAUAUUCUUCAUGUUGUCCUUCAAGACAAUAUUUUAUAUGUUCUAAAUAUUUUGUGGCCACCUGGUAUUGGAGUCUGAAAUUUCGCAUGGUGGUGAAUUACUGAAUGCAUGCCAAGGCAGUUCCAUACAAAAACAC
rnacentral:lncRNA from 1 species